UACGUAGGUGGCAAGCGUUAUCCGGAAUUACUGGGCGUAAAGCGCACGCAGGCGGUCUUUUAAGUUUGACGUGAAAGCUCCCGGCUUAACUGGGAGAGGUCGUUGAAUACUGGAAGACUUGAGGCAAUGAGAGGGGUGUAGAAUUCCCGGUGUAGUGGUAGAAUGCGUAGAUAUCGGGGGGAAUACCAGUGGCGAAAGCGGCACCCUAGCGUUAGCCUGACGCUCAUGUGCGAAAGCGUGGGGAGCGAACGGG
rnacentral:rRNA from 1 species